AGAAAUAGUCUCUAAGGUUAACUUUAUGGUGACCGUACCAAAACCGACACAGGUGGGAAGGUUGAGUAUACCAAGGCGCUCGAGUGAAAUCUCGCUAAGGAACUCGGCAAAAUGCCUCUGUAACUUCGGGAUAAAGAGGGCCCCUGCUGUUGAAGCAGGGGUUGCAGAUAAUAGGCCCAAGCGACUGUUUAUCAAAAACACAGGUCUCUGCUAAGUUGUAAAACGAUGUAUAGGGACUGACACCUGCCCGGUGCUGGAAGGUUAAGGAAGCUAGUGACUGCCUAAGGGUGGAAAGCCAGCGACCGAAGCCCCAGUAAACGGCGGCCGUAACAAUAACGGUCCUAAGGUAGCGAAAUUCCUUGUCGGGUAAGUUCCGACCUGCACGAAUGGUGUAACGAUUUGGGCGCUGUCUCGGCGAGAUGCUCGGUGAAAUUGAAGUAUCAGUGAAGAUGCUGAUUUCCUGCAAUAGGACGGAAAGACCCCGUGAACCUUUACUGUAACCUGGCAUUGGAAUUUGGUGUAGUAUGUGUAGGAUAGGUGGGAGGCUGAGAGGCGGACACGCUAGUGUUCGAUUAGCCGACGUUGAAAUACCACCCUUAUUGCAUUGGGUUUCUAACUCUGGACCGUGAAACCGGACAGGGGACAAUGUCAGGCGGGCAGUUUGACUGGGGCGGUCGCCUCCUAAAGAGUAACGGAGGCGCGCGAAGGUUCCCUCAGCACGGACGGAAAUCGUGCGUAGAGUGUAAAGGCAAAAGGGAGCUUGACUGCAAGAUCAACGAAUCAAGCAGGUACGAAAGUAGGCCUUAGUGAUCCGGCGGUAGUGAGUGGAAAUGCCGUCGCUCAACGGAUAAAAGGUACUCCGGGGAUAACAGGCUUAUCACGCCCAAGAGUUCACAUCGACGGCGUGGUUUGGCACCUCGAUGUCGGCUCAUCGCAUCCUGGGGCUGGAGCAGGUCCCAAGGGUUUGGCUGUUCGCCAAUUAAAGCGGUACGCGAGCUGCGCUCAGAACGUCGUGAGACAGUUCGGUCCCUAUCCAUUGCAGGCGUUGGAAGUUUGAGGAGAGCUGUUCCUAGUACGAGAGGACCGGAAUGGACGCACCUCUAGUAUACCGGUUGUCAUGCCAGUGGCAUUGCCGGGUAGCUAUGUGCGGAAGGGAUAACCGCUGAAAGCAUCUAAGCGGGAAGCCUCCUUCAAGAUUAA
rnacentral:rRNA from 1 species